UAAAAUUAACAAAUUUCUAAAUGUGAGCAAUUUUUAUGUCCAUAACUGGUGUAACUUUGAUGUCCAUAACCUAAGUGACAUAUUCUAAGUAACGGUAAUGUCCGUAAGUUGUGUGACUUAAUUGUUCAUAACCUAAGUGACUGUCAUGUCCAUAAAUUGUGUGACUUUAAUGUUAAUAAUCUAUUCUAAGUAACAGUAAUGUCCAUAAGUUGUCUGACUGUAAUGUCCGUAAGUUGUGUGACUUAAUUGUUCAUAACCUAAGUGACUGUCAUGUCCAUAAAUUGUUGUGUGAUUUUAAUGUUAAUAAUCUAUUCUAAGUAACAGUAAUGUCCGUAAGUUGUGUGACUGUAAUGUCCAUAAGUUGUGUGACUUAUUUGUUCAUAACCUAAGUGACUGUCAUGUCCAUAAAUUGUGUGACUGUAAUUUUAUUAAACUAAGUAACUGGCAUGUCCAUAACUUGUGUGACUUUAACAUCCAUAACCUAAGUGACUGUAAUGUCAUAAAUUGUGUGACUUUAAUGUUAAUAAUCUAUUCUAAGUAACGGUAAUGUCCAUAAGUUGUGUGACUGUAAUGUCCAUAAGUUGUGUGACUGUAAUGUCCGUAAGUUGUGUGACUUAAUUGUUCAUAACCUAAGUGACUGUCAUGUCCAUAAAUUGUGUGACUUUAAUGUUAAUAAUCUAUUCUAAGUAACGGUAAUGUCCGUAAGUUGUGUGACUUAAAUGUUAAUUAUUUAAGUGACUGUCAUGUCCAUAAGUUGUGUGACUAUUAAUGUAUGUAAGUUGUUUGACUGUAAUGUCUGGGGCAACAACUGCAUUUAGUUGUUGAGUUACUAGUUAAUUAAUUAUUAAGUACCCCAGGGCAUGUAUGGAUUUGUGUUUUAAAACUUGGUAUUGUAUUUUGAAACAAUGUUUAUUGGAAAUAGAGGGAUUUUUAUUUAUUUUGUCGCACUGCUUUACUUACAAAAAUGCCCAAUUUUUUAUGUGAAACAGCCUUUGAAAGAAAAAUAUAGCAAAAAUUAUUUAAUUUUAUUUCUGAUAAUGUAGUCAGUCCGUAGAUGUCCCUUGACCAAAUAAAUGGUCCGCUAUCUACUUUUGUAGCCUGUUGAACAGGUAUCUGACUUAAGUUCUUUGUCCUUUUCUAUUAAACCUGUAUAUCCAUUUUUUACUACUUUGAGCACGAAUAAGAUGAAUGUUUGUCCCCAGUUUAUAGGUCAAGGUCACAGUGGACACUUUAAAUUUGUGUAUAUUCCUUAAAUGGAUGUAGUAAAAUUAUAUGUUCCUGCACGGCUUUAUUUUGUUAUAUUUUGUUUUAUUUUUGAUAUUGUAGUCGGUCAGUAGAUGUCCCUUGACCAAAUAAAUGGUCCGCUAUCUACUGUUGUAGCCUGUUUGACAGGUAUCUGACUAAGUUUUGUUAACGCCCGUUUGAAAAAACGGACAUAUUAUGUGAUCACCCAUGGGUGGGCGGCUUCCAGAUCUCUGAGUAUAACUCUUAAAGUAUAAGAGCUUUUCACAUGAAAAUUCAUAUAUGGAUUGAUUUCAUUGAGAAGAAGUGCAGUGCACGAGAACCAUAACUCUAGCUUGCUUUAUUUCAGAAUUAUACCACAUUUUAAAUUUUCUUUUCUGAGUCAUAACUUCAUAACUAUAAGGCCAAUUAACAUCAAACUUGGAAUAAACGUAGGUUGUGGUGUAUAGAAGUGCAGCCCACAAGAAUCAUAACUUUAGAUUGCAUAAUUUUAGAAAUAUCCCCAUUAAUAAUUUUGUUGGUAUGCCUUUUUUCUUGGUUGCCUGUUUUUUAUGUCCCCAGUCUAUGCUGGGGGACAUAUUGUUUUUGCCCUGUCUGUUGGUUUGUUUGCACAAACUUUAACAUUGGCCAUAACUUUUGCAAUAUUGAAGAUAGCAACUUGAUAUUUGGCAUGUAUGUGUAUCUCAUAGAGAAUAUUUCAUUGAGUGUGACCUUCUUGGUGACCUUCAAAAAAAAGACAAGCAUUGGGGCAUUACGACUCUUGUUUCAUAAAAAAAAAAAUUUGUUCAAGGUAACUACAAUUAGUCCUCUACAACUUUCACAUUUUAUUUAGUUCAACAGUUCUAUCACAUUUUACAAGUUUUACAUAUUUUUGAGAAAAAAAGUAAAGCUGUGCUACUGUGGACAUUCAUUGUUUUACUCUUUUUUAUUAUUAAUUAAUGAUCUUUAAGAUUGGUAUCUUCAUUCCAUUUUGGACAUGGUCUGGUCAGUAUUAGUAUUAUACAUAUGAAUGUUAGAAGGUUCAUAUAUCUAUGUUUGCAAUUACAAGAUAAAAAUGCAGAUAAUAUUGCAGCCAAAUUGUGUUACAAUGUAUUACUAUCUGAUGUGUUGUGUGUCAUUGAAUAGCAUAAUCCAUGAGACAUCUUGCACCCAAGCUGAUCCAGGCAAAUGCUGGUCAUGCCCAAAGAAUUUUAUCUGCCAUUGAUUCUUAGAAGGUUUGUGCCCAGCACAUCAUCAGGCACAUUGAAUUUUUACCGUAAUGUAACAAUAAUACAUUGUUCUGGUUCUUACAUAGUUUCAAAUCGUGUAUUACUGUAUACAAAGUUCCCAUUUUAUGUCAUGGGCACAUGCAAGAUGCACAGAGAUGGCAAUAUUGAUAGUCCAGCAAUAUCAGUAGAUUUCUAUAUGAAAUGUAUAUAAACAGAAAUUUCAUUUUCUUUUAAUUUCAUCAUUUCUGGUCAUAUACCUAUCGUUCAUAUUUCAUUGGAAAGCUCUUGAAAUUCUUAAGAUGUCAUAAUUAAAAACUAAAAAUGAGGUUAAACAAACAGACCAUUUAUUGUUCAAUGUUCUUUUCAGUCAAAUUAUGGGAAAAAAAUCAUAUAGUGUAACUUUUAUGCUUAUAAUUUUCUGUAGACAAUAUUAUAUUGUAAAAUAUAUUUAUAUCUAAAAUGCAAAAUGAAUAACAGUUAAAAUGAUACCAUUUUGAGCUCACCUGAGCACGAAGCUUUUAGGAUCACCUUACGUCCGUUGUCCGUGGUGUGUCAACCUGCUUCAAAUGACAUCGCCUAAACUAUGCCAAUUUUGAUAAAACUUUACAAGAAUGAUCAUUGGGUGACCCUAUACUAAAAUUGCUUUAUUUGUUCUGCUUUUGUUGCACAAGAUGACUAUCAUUACUAAAAAUAAAAAAAAUCUUUAAGUGGCAUAUUCUUUUAAACCACUACGCCAAAUUUGCCAAAUAAGUUUACAGAAGUGAUCCUUGGGUUAUCCUUGACAAAAUUGAUUAAAUCAUUUCUUUAUGAUGCAAGAGAUGGCAGUUGUCGCUAGAACAUUAUUGGAUAUUUUGACAUGAACUAGUACACUAAUUGUUCAGGUGAGUGUCUAAGGGCCAUCGGGCCAUCUUGUUAAUAUACCCUCUCAGAGCUGUUAACAAUAUUUUUUAUAUUUAGUUAAAAAAUAACAGAAGCUAUUAACAUUUUCCCCCACUGUAAUUGUAAACUAUCAAAAUGGCUGCCAGAUUAUUGUAAAUAAGAACAAUAUAACUCUUAUCAGAUAGAAAAAUUGGUGCUUUGAAAACUAUAUUGAUAUUUUAUCUGUUUCUAUGUAUAGACGGCUUUGUAAAUUUCAUACAAUGAGUAGUUGGUUUCCUAUUGAACUAUUACGCCAUUUUGGCAUAGAACGUAACCAAAGAAUAUGUACUUUGUGAAGUUGUUUAGGUGAUGAGUUUCAGUACUGUUUCAGUCACUUUAAAUCUACACGUAAAAAAAUAUUUAUAAAUAUUUUAGAAUUCAUCCUCUUAUAAAAUGGAAAAGUUAAUGAAUACGUAAUAUACAUCUGUACUUUUUCAAGUUAGUAUUAUUUUGUAAAAUUGUUAUGAAUAAUUUUAUUCAUUAUAAAUCAUGUCAUGGAUUUUUAAUUACAUGUAAAUCUUAGUAUUGUGCUAUAGUCAUAAUUCUUUUAACUACAUUGUGAAAGUGUGACCUAGUGCUACUUUGACAUAAUAUAAUUGUUGUAAUAUCCUAAAAUCUGUUGUAAGUUUUGUUGCUUGUUAAUACAGUUCUACCGGUACUUGUUCUUGAGUUCAUAUUACUUUAGAAAUUAAUUAUGUUAGAUGUAUGUGUUUACAUCACACACAAUUGUGAUUCUACUGUAUAAUUAUAUAAGUAAAUAUGUCCAAUCUAGAAUCUGUUUUAUACUGAGCUUUCAUAUUUGGUAUGUAGCAUUAUCUAGAGGUCCGCUACCAAAGUUGUUCAAAUUGUUCCUCUGGGGUCAAAAUUGACUCCGCCCUGGGGGUCACAAUUUUACAUUGAAUUAUAUAAGGAAAACUUUAAAUGACUUGAACUGCUAAUGGGAUUUUGACCAAACUCAACAGAAAUGGUCCCUGGGUAGUCCUCUACCAAAAUUGUUCAAAUGGUUCUGAUUGGUUGCAUAAGUACACAUUGUCAAAAAAAAAAGGUUUUUAAAAUGCAACUUUCAAAAAUCUUCUUGUCUGAAACUACAAGACCCAGAGCUUUCAUAUUUGGUAUAUAGCAUCCUCUAGAAGUCCUCUUCCAAAUUUGGUUUAAGUUAUGCCCCUAGGGUUAAAAUUGACCCCGCACCGGGGGUCACAAUUUUACAUUGAAUUAUAUAAGGAAAACUUUAAAUGACUUCUUAUCUUGAACCGUUAAUGGGAAUUUGAACAAACUCAACAUUAACGGUCCCCUUACCACAAUUGUUCAAAUGGUUCUGAUUGGUUGCAUAAGUAGGUCAAGGGGUAAAAAAAUAGGUUUUCUAAAUGCAAUUUUCAAAAAUCUUCUUGUCUGAAACUACAAGUCCUAGAGCUUUCAUAUUAAUUUCAUGUAUAACAUCAUCUAGAGGUCCUCUACCAGUAUUUGGUGGACAACAUUAGUGGUCCUCUGUAAAUGGCUCCAUUGUGACCUUUGACCUUUUCCUAAGGUGAGCGACCCAGGGCCCUUUGGGCCCUCUUGUUAUUUUUCAUUAAAGGGACUCUCUCAGACACGUGUAAUUUGGGAGUAAAUAAACGUUAAAAAUUUGAUAUUCAACUUCCUCGUCACUAUACCAAAGACCGCUUUCAUUUUCCUUACUUAUAAGUUACUAAAACCCCAUGUUUUUGUUGCUUGGUGUGAAGUGAGCCUUUGCGCCAGUCUGUUCAACGUUGGGAAAGCCGGUUUAUAAAUAAACUGAGGAAUUCUUUUUCGCGCUAAGCUAUCACGUGACGUCUAAAAAUAAACACUACACAGCAACAUAGUAGCAAAGGGAAAUAAUCGUGCGCUUAGUUUGGGUGGAAUUCUGAACAUUUGAUGUAGAAAAUGCGAGUAUUUUUUAUUUUCCUUACCAAAUUGACCAAGAUUCAAUAAAUAUUAAUGUCUUCUCUAUUUGUUUUUGUCAUCGCUCGACCCAUUUUCGUCUAACGCAAAUAAUGUAUGCGACCAUGCACAUGUUCAGUAAACGUUUCCGAAGACCCACGUGACGAUGGUAUCUAAAAACACCACCUCUUAUUCUAAGUUAAGAUCGUUGUUUACAAAAUAAACCCGUUUAAACGGUCUUACAUAUCUGCGAUUUAAAUGUUAAUUUUCUUCUCUGUACAAAUAUGAGCAAGUUUGGAAAGCUGUCAAUAAUCUAGUUCUGUGUUACUUUAGAAAUGUAUGUUGUCGUGUUUAUGGUAGAAGACAAUUUAUUUACAAAAAGUUAAAAUCUCGAUCUCUGAGAGAGUCUCUUUAACGAAAAACCGGAGAACAGUAGUAAAAAUUAUUUAAAAUUUUGAGAAAAAGGCAUUCAUCGUUACCCCAAACCUUUAUUAUUAUCAGCCAUGUUUUUUUCAUAUCAGGGAUGGUCUAAAACCCGUGGUGUCUGGAACUGUAUAUGUUCUGAUUUUUUUACAAAUAAUGUUUUUUUGGGGGGGGCAGGUGGUUUUGGACAGGGGCGGGCGUGGAUGAGAAUCUAAAAUAUUUUUUUCUAUUGCCUAACUGUAAAAUAACAUAUCUUGAAAAAUAAAAUCCUGCAAAUACUUUCUACCUGUUGUUCUGUUACAUGUGUGUUGAACAUUUCUGUGACUUGUUAAAAUCCUAUGGACAAAUUUCUAGUCUAAAUUAGCUUCUCAAUUUAAAUAACUUGUUCCUUCAAAAUAGUGCAUGGUUUGAUAUUGUACUAUUUAAAAUUUGAAUUAAUAUUAUCUCUAGUCCUGGCAAGUCUAUGUUCUUUAAGUAAAUUGAAAUUUAAAGGUUUAUUCAUUUAAACAUUUUGCAAUGAUUUCUGUUAGUUCACAUCUUGUUAAAAUGUUUUAUACAUGCAUAGUUUAUGCCUUGGUUAAAUAAAAUCUGAAAUCUGUUGUGGGAAGUAUCAUACUAUGUAUUCGUGUUUCUGUUUGUAAAACGUUUAAUAAAACUAUUUAACAUAUA